AUUGAACGCUGGCGGCAGGCCUAACACAUGCAAGUCGAGCGGAUGAAGGGAGCUUGCUCCUGGAUUCAGCGGCGGACGGGUGAGUAAUGCCUAGGAAUCUGCCUGGUAGUGGGGGAUAACGUCCGGAAACGGGCGCUAAUACCGCAUACGUCCUGAGGGAGAAAGUGGGGGUUCUUCGGACCUCACGCUAUCAGAUGAGCCUAGGUCGGAUUAGCUAGUUGGUGGGGUAAAGGCCUACCAAGGCGACGAUCCGUAACUGGUCUGAGAGGAUGAUCAGUCACACUGGAACUGAGACACGGUCCAGACUCCUACGGGAGGCAGCAGUGGGGAAUAUUGGACAAUGGGCGAAUGCCUGAUCCAGCCAUGCCGCGUGUGUGAAGAAGGUCUUCGGAUUGUAAAGCACUUUAAGUUGGGAGGAAGGGCAGUAAGUUAAUACCUUGCUGUUUUGACGUUACCAACAGAAUAAGCACCGGCUAACUUCGUG
rnacentral:rRNA from 1 species